rnacentral:lncRNA from 1 species
CCCUCCCAUCAAUUGUUUCCUUGUGCGUGCGCACUGCACCUCUCGUGCUCGUUCUAAUAUCAAGUAAAAUGCUACGGUGCCGUGACUCACAUUUGCGAAUAAACCUGAGGACCAUAAUUCAAGUCGCCCGUAUCGUCGAAAGAAUCAUCUGCAAAAAAAUGGGUGCAACACGAGGACUUCCUAAGAAAAUGGGUGAAAUAUAAGUACUUCGCAGGAAGUCACCCAUCCUAGUGCUACUCUCGCCCAAGCACCCUUAACUUGCGGAGUUCUGAUAGAAUCCGUUGUAUUGGUGCUGGUAUGAUUGCUCAUGUUUCAUUCUGCGCUGCAAAUACGUACACUUUUUCUCCCUCCAUCCCCCCUCCCGUCAUUUGUUUCCUUGUGCGUGCAUUCUGCAUCCCUUUUUCUCGUUCUAAUAUCGAUUAAAAUGCCCAUGCUUCUUGACGCACAUUUGCGUAUAAACCAGUGGACCCUAGUUGCAGUCGCGCGUAACAUCGAACGACCCGUUUGAAAAAAUAAUUAGUACGACACGAGGACUUCCCAAGAGGUCACCCAUCCGAGUACUACUCUCGUCCAAGCACACUUAAUUACGGAGUUCUGAUGGGAUCCGGUGCAUUAGUGCUAGUAUGAUCGCACCUGUUUAAUUUCGCGCUGCCAAUACAUAAACUCCUCCUCCUUUCUUCCCCCUCCCAUCAUUUGUUUCCUUGUGCGUGCGCACUGCACCUCUCGUUCUCGUUCAAAUAUCAAGUAAAAUGCCACGGCGCCGUGACUCACAUUUGCAAAUAAAUCUGCAGACCAUAAUUAAAGUCGCGCGUAACGUCGAACGGCACAUCUGAAAAAAGGAAAAUGGGUGCAACACGAGAACUUCCCAGGAGGUAACCCAUCAUUGUACUACUUUCGCCAAAGCACACUUAACUGCGGAGUUCUGAUGGGAUCCGGUGCAUUUGUGCUGGUGUGACCGCACCUGUUUAAUUUCUUGCUGAAAAUACAUACACUCCUUCUUCCCUCCCCGCUCCCAUCAUUUGUUUCCGUGUGCGUUCACACUGCACCUCUCCUUCUCGUUCUAAUAUCGAUUAAAAUGCCCCUGAUUCUUGACUCACAUUUGCAUAUAAACCAGCAGACCAUAGUUCAAGUCGCGCGUAACGUCGAACGACCCAUCUGAAAAAAAAUUGUUGCGAUACGAGGACUUCCCAAGAGGUCACCCAUCCGAGUACUACUCUCGCCCAAGCACACUUAACUGCAGAGUUCUGAUGGGAUCUAGUGCAUUAGUGCU